GGGGCAGAUUUUGACUUCACAACUGGUGACAUGGACACAAUCAGGACAUGGUGGUGUCUGUUGCUCCUGUCUGGUCAUUCAGUUGUCAGGUUGGCACAGAAAAGGAAAUAUGAAGAUCAAAUCGCAAGAAUCCCAUUUUGAUAGUUGUUGACGAUGUGUCCUGCAUGCUAAGGAUUAUUUAUUAUAUGAUUUGAUUCAUUUUGGACUUCAUAUGCAUACUUUUUACUGACUUUUAAAUAUUUAAAUAUCUAUUUGCACCCUGUGAUGAUUAAAUAGCCUAAUCGUUGUCUGUGUACAGAUAAUAGCAGAUAAGGAUAAGGAGGAGGCAAAGAGGCAAAGAGGCCCAGGACAAUGUGUGAAUGAAGUAAACUUGAUGCCUUGUAUACAUACCUAAUGUCAAAAUACUACAAACUGUCUACAUAAUGAAUUCUCAAAAUAAGUGUUAAAUGUGUUCAUUCAGGAACCUGUUGACCUGACCAAGGAGGGGAUUCUGGAGGUCAUCAAUG